ensembl:lncRNA
GAGCAGUAGAUGGACUAGUAGGGAAAUAAUUACAAUCAUGAUGUUGAUUGCUGAUGUCAGUAUAUAUAUUUUAGAGGAAUGUUUUGUUUUUCACCCAAAAUGAACUAUAUUCUUCAGAAGAGAUUUUUUACCCCACUGGAUUCUUAUAUAUUGUUUUUUUUUUUGCUUGUUUGUUUGUUUGUUUUUUCUCCAGAACAUGUAUGCUGUACCUAUUUACUUGAAUUGUAUAGAUAUAUUUACGUCAUCAAAAUAUGUCACAUGACUUACAAGGUUUAGAUUGUUGUGCAACAUUGUCACAUUCUGAUAUUUAUUCAGUGGUUUUAUGGCAGUCAAUGCUAUGUGUAUUUUUUUUAAUCUUUAAAUAUUCUCCUUUAUAGGUGCCCAACUCUUCAUGCAAAGCGUCUGGGGAUUCUAAAGGUUCCAGUGAUGCUGAAUAUGUGGAGUUAGCACAUGCUACAGGGAUAAAAAUUCUGAAACAUCAGUGGGCUACUGCUCUUCAGGCCCAAACACCCACUUUAAUGGUGCAUGUUCUUCUGAUGGCCGUCUUCCCACUGGAGGUUUUGAUCCAGAGCAAUUUAAAAGGAGGACACAGCAAAACAGACAUCGGCGCAGAGCGAAGAACUGCCCUUGAUAAAGAAACCAUGACAGCCAUAUAUAGACGGAGGAGUCUGUGCACAUAGGAGUCACCGAUGAUCACAGAUAUUUUCUUCACAUGAAGAUUCCAGUCCUGCAGUUUCCUCUGUGUGUUGGGGUCUCUCGUUGGAGUGCAGACCUGUCGUUCUGGUGAGGAUGGUGAGGAAGGAAGACAAUAAGAGGAGGAGUCCUCUGUUAUUCUUGUUUGGAGGCAGGUCUGCACACAAGGUUUCAAUCUGUGUAGGUUUGUGAGUGUAACUCAAAGCUGUAUUGUUUCAGUGAGGGGUUGACACGGUUAUUCAGCUGUGUCGUUUCCCUGCUCACCUGUGGCUGUUGUUCUGGUUUACUGGGUGUGUCACUGCUGGUGUGGUAGCUGGAUUCCAGUCUGCUAGCUCGGCUAUAACCACCGCCUGGUUCUGGUCCAACGACUCGGGCUGGAGACGGCGGCCCAGGUUCCGUUUCUCCCAGGAUGCUGCCAUCUCAAAGGGGCCUCUCUAGAAAACUGAAAACAAAUUUUAAACUCAUACUCUAUGCUUUGGUUAUAAUAGUCAUGAAGGAUAAAAAUUUAUCUCUGAGCUGAGUUUUUAGCAUCUCCUCAAUUAGAGUCUGUGUCCUUCUAUUGAGAUAGCUGGUUUAAUCAAAGUUACUAAGUUUGUGGUUAUUUUUAUUCAGAGAUUGAUGAUAACAGUCUUCUGAAACAUUUUUCUGAUGAUCAACCGCUUUAAUAAGUCUGUAAAUUUUGCAAACUUUAAUAAAAAAAAAGUGUGGAUCAUCCGAUUGUACUCUAUUCCUCCGAGGUUCAGCUCUUUCAUUCAGGGUGGAUUUUACAUACCGUUUGUCUCUGGCCACUCCUCGUUAAAAUCUCCGAUCUCCACCAGUCUGUACAAGGUAACAGAUAAUGUUGUUUUUUCAUGUUAGGCUUCUUCUGGGUUAGGCCUUCCUGUUGCUCAUGGUGGAAGAUGGGUGCCUUUGUUGACCUAGGAGGGAUAGCUGGAGACAGGUAUUCUGAAAUUGCCUUCUUUAUUUUUUUUAACGUAAUUUGAGAUGGGCUACGUAAAAGGUAUUUGCACAUACCAAGGCAACUCUUUGGAUUCCCCGUCCAUAAACAUCCGACAGUUCUGAAACAUGGUUUUUUCCACACAGAGGAUGGGAGAGGAGGAGGGGUGAGGAGGGGAGAGCUGGAUGGGGAGGGUUCUGUGGGUUCAUAAAAUGGAGGUGGUCUGGUCUGAUGGAUUCCUCAAGCAAACGUGUCCGGUGGCAGUUUUAUUUUCACCUAAAUAACAUUUGGGUGGGAGGAAUCGGAUCCAACGCAUGGCUUCUUUUUAAACAAUUAUUCCCCGUUGUUGUAGCCGUUAACUUUUUAAGUGU